rnacentral:rRNA from 1 species
GACGAACGCUGGCGGCGUGCUUAACACAUGCAAGUCGAGCGGUAAGGCCCUUUCGGGGGUACACGAGCGGCGAACGGGUGAGUAACACGUGGGUGACCUGCCCUCAGCUCUGGGAUAAGCCUGGGAAACCGGGUCUAAUACCGGAUAUGACUCCAUGACACAUGUUGUGGGGUGGAAAGCCUUGUGCGGCUGAGGAUGGGCCCGCGGCCUAUCAGCUUGUUGGUGGGGUGAUGGCCUACCAAGGCGACGACGGGUAGCCGGCCUGAGAGGGCGACCGGCCACACUGGGACUGAGACACGGCCCAGACUCCUACGGGAGGCAGCAGUGGGGAAUCUUGCGCAAUGGGCGAAAGCCUGACGCAGCGACGCCGCGUGAGGGAUGACGG